UCCUGGCUCAGAAAUGAACGUUGGCGGCGUGGAUUAGGCAUGCAAGUCGCACGAGAAAGUGCCCGCAAGGGUGCGAGUAAAGUGGCGGAAGGGUGAGUACUAUAUAGGUAAUCUACCUUCAGGAGGAGGAUAACUACUCGAAAGGGUAGCUAAUACUCCGUAACAUUGGGAGAGGGCAUCCUUUCCCGGUUAAAGAUGGGGAUCUUUCGGGACCUGUCGCCUGAUGAGGAGCCUAUAUCCUAUCAGCUAGUUGGUGAGGUAAUGGCUCACCAAGGCAACGACGGGUAGCCGGACUGAGAGGUCGGCCGGUCACAGUGGGACUGAGACACUGCCCACACUCCUACGGGAGGCUGCAGUCGAGGAUCUUCGGCAAUGGGCGAAAGCCUGUACCGAGCGACGCCGCGUGGAGGAUGAAGGCCUUCGGGUUGUAAACUCUUUUAGGGGGCAUGAAGGACGGGCGGUAAAUAGACCGUUCCUCCUUGACGUAAACCCCAAAAAAGCCACGGCUAAAACGU
rnacentral:rRNA from 1 species